UAUAUAUUUGGCACUCCAGGAAGAUGAAGGUGGGUUUAUAGAAGUGCUGUUAGUACCAGGGACACUGGAUAAGAAAGAUAAGCAAGCCACUGCUCUCUGAUUUCUACAUAGCAGGUUAAAAUGUUGCAUUUAUAAUUCCCAUUUCAGAAAGACUGAAAGCCAGAGUUUAUUCUAUUAGAUUCCAAGAUAUCAAGGAAGAGGAAAAGGGAAGAAGAGCCCCAGGCACUAUUAAACCACAGCUACAGUCAUUGCCAUUUGAAACUUCCCACCAAACAACUUCACUAUUCUGAUUUACUUUCAACUCCCAGGGUGAGUUAGUAUUAGGCAGAAGUACCUAUCAUCCAUGAUAAUCCACCAGCCCUGGGGAUUUAGAAGGGAAAGGAUGGAGGUCUCUGUGCUUGAGGCUUGGCUGAUAGCUGAGCAGGGCUCCAGCUCACCUUCAUCUCACUCUUGUGGAUACCUGCACUAGGGGCCUGAGCAUUCUUGCAGAUCUCUGCAGAGGAGGCUGCCCUUAGGUGUUAUUAAGGUGUGAAAGCAGCAAGAAAGAGCAGAAUUAAACUGCUUUUCUCUAAUGUAUCCUUUUACAGCCCAGUGUGUUUUGCCCUAGGCUAGCCUUUUCUUCUCCUUUCACCCUCCACAUGCCAGUCCAAGACAGCCUUUCUUCUCAUAGGAAUUAUUGUGUUAUUAUUUCUUAAAUUUUUUUUUUCUUUUCGAUGGCUUUUCUAGAGGAAACCUAACAGUGUGGGUUUAUCAACCAUUUUGGCAAGACUCUGAAGUCUACUGAACAGAUUUUUAAAUAAAAAUUAUGAACAAAGAAAGUCUAGUAAAUUUACUAAUAGAAAAACUGACUAUGCCUUGUAGGAAUUUUUGUGUGUGUGUGACAUUCCAUUGUGUACCUGCCAGAGAAGAAAACAAGUGGGACCUGUUACUCAAAUUGUUCAAUUUUAAAGCAGGUCCGUUGUUAUGAUUGGACUUUAUUCACAUACAAGCACUUGCACAAGGAUGACAUAAAGUGAGGAUAUAGUAGAGUGAUUACAUGUAAUGGGUGUACUGAAGAGUCUCUACACCUUGGGGUAUAAACAAUGUUUUGAGGGUUUUUUUUUGUUUAUUUGUUUUUCUCCCAUCAUUUUCAGCAGUGUUUUCUUGCAUUUCUCCUUGCAAGCCUUUUAAACAAUAUCAUCUACAAUUUUCUGGUUGCUUAUGAUUAUCAAAAUUAAAACCAGUUCCAUUUUUU